AUUGAACGCUGGCGGCAUGCCUAACACAUGCAAGUCGAACGGCAGCACAGUAAAGAUUUCGGUCUUUAUGGGUGGCGAGUGGCGGACGGGUGAGUAAUGCGUAGGAAUCUGUCCUGGAGAGUGGGAUAACCCGAGGAAACUCGGGCUAAUACUGCAUGAUAUCGAGAGAUCAAAGGCAGGGGACCCUUCGGGGCCUUGCGCUCUAGGAUGAGCCUACGUCGGAUUAGCUAGUUGGUGGGGUAAAGGCCUACCAAGGCGACGAUCCGUAGCUGGUCUGAGAGGAGGACCAGCCACACUGGGACUGAGACACGGCCCAAACUCCUACGGGAGGCAGCAGUGGGGAAUCUUGGACAAUGGGGGAAACCCUGAUCCAGCGAUGCCGCGUGUGUGAAGAAGGCCUUCGGGUUGUAAAGCACUUUAGUUGGGGAAGAAAAGUAAUGAGUGAAUAACUGAUUGCUCUGACGGUACCCAAAGAAUAAGCACCGGCUAACUCUGUGCCAGCCGCCGCGGUAA
rnacentral:rRNA from 1 species